CCUUCUGUGCAGGAAGGCAGCUGCCGUGUCCUGAGGAUACUCAGGUAGCCUUACAGAGAGGUCCACGUGGUGCGAAUAUCCAGCCUCCAUCCACAUGAGUGGGCCGUCUUGAAAGCAGAUCCUCUAGCCCCAGUCAAGGCUUCAGAUGACUAAAGCCCCACCCACUGCAAUCUCCUGAGAGACAGACCCCUCGCCAGAGCCAUCCGCUGAGCAACUUCCGGAUUCCUAACCCUCAGAUAUAAUGAAAAAUUGGAGGCUUGGAGGUGCAAGAGAAUUUACCAGGAUUAUAAAGCAAAUGAAGAAAUGGAGGCUUGGAGCUGGAAGAGAAUUUACCAGGAUUGUAAGGCAAGUGGCAAAACUAAGAUUGGAACUCAAAUCUCGUAACACUUUUCCCGGAACACACGAAGGCUUGUGGGAUCAAGCUUUUUGUAGCCAUGCUAUGUAAGGUACUUC